rnacentral:antisense_RNA from 1 species
UGCACCCCAGAGACAGGCUCGCAGCUGCCGACCUUAUCCACUCGCCCUUCCUGCUGGGAGACUGAUGCCCACGGGGGACAGCUUGGGCUAAGGAUAACUUCCUCUACUUGGCUCUCCUCCAAAGGUACGCGGCCGCAGCAGGCAGGGGCUUGGCAGUGUGGGAGGAGACACUACAGAAGACAGGGAAGAACUACCAGGCCUUGGUUCAUCUCCACACUGGCGAGAGAGGACGUGCAGGGAGGUAUCGGCUGCCAGAUAGGGAGCUGAGACUUCAAGAAGCUAAAUAAGGUGUCCAGCACCACAGAGCAUGGAGCAAAGGACACGGGACUCCAAAUCUUCCUAACUCAUGUGCUCAUCUGGCUAUCUCACCAGGGCCUUAAAUUUAAUAUAUCCCAAACUGAACUCAUCUUUAUCCCUUCCCACUUUGCACUCCUCCAAUGUCCUUGUUUAAAAUAGUUACCUUUAUCUUUCCUAACCCAGAAACUCAAAACCUGGCAUCA